rnacentral:rRNA from 1 species
ACACAUGCAAGUCGAGCGAUAGAGUGUGCUUGCACACUCGAAAGCGGCGGACGGGUGAGUAAUGCGUGGGAAUCUGCCUAUAGGUGGGGGAUAGCCCGGAGAAAUCCGGAUUAAUACCGCAUAAUACCUGAGGGUUAAAACGGAGGAUCGCAAGACUUCGUGCCUAUAGAUGAGCCCACGUCAGAUUAGCUAGUUGGUAGGGUAAAGGCCUACCAAGGCGACGAUCUGUAGCUGGCCUGAGAGGGUGGCCAGCCACACUGGAACUGAGACACGGUCCAGACUCUGCGGGAGGCAGCAGUGGGGAAUAUUGGACAAUGGGCGCAAGCCUGAUCCAGCCAUGCCGCGUGUGUGAAGAAGGCUUCGGGUUGUAAAGCACUUUAAGUUGGGAGGAAGGUUGCUUGGCUAAUAUCCAAGCGAAUUGACGUUACCAACAGAAUAAGCACCGGCUAAUUCCGUGCCAGCAGCCGCGGUAAU